rnacentral:rRNA from 1 species
CAGCCGCGGUAAUACGGAGGGUGCAGCGUUACUCGGAAUCACUGGGCGUAAAGGGCGCGUAGGCGGAUUAUCAAGUCUCUUGUGAAAUCUAAUGGCUUAACCAUUAAACUGCUUGGGAAACUGAUAGUCUAGAGUGAGGGAGAGGCAGAUGGAAUUGGUGGUGUAGGGGUAAAAUCCGUAGAUAUCACCAAGAAUACCCAUUGCGAAGGCGAUCUGCUGGAACUCAACUGACGCUAAGGCGCGAAAGCGUGGGGAGCAAACAGGAUUAGAUACCCUGGUAGUCCACGCCCUAAACGAUGUACACUAGUUGUUGGGGUGCUAGUCAUCUCAGUAAUGCAGCUAACGCAUUAAGUGUACCGCCUGGGGAGUACGGUCGCAAGAUUAAAACUCAAAGGAAUAGACGGGGACCCGCACAAGCGGUGGAGCAUGUGGUUUAAUUCGAAGAUACGCGAAGAACCUUACCUGGGCUUGAUAUCCUAAGAACCUUUUAGAGAUAAGAGGGUGCUAGCUUGCUAGAACUUAGAGACAGGUGCUGCACGGCUGUCGUCAGCUCGUGUCGUGAGAUGUUGGGUUAAGUCCCGCAACGAGCGCAACCCACGUAUUUAGUUGCUAACGGUUCGGCCGAGCACUCUAAAUAGACUGCCUUCGUAAGGAGGAGGAAGGUGUGGACGACGUCAAGUCAUCAUGGCCCUUAUGCCCAGGGCGACACACGUGCUACAAUGGCAUAUACAAUGAGACGCAAUACCGCGAGGUGGAGCAAAUCUAUAAAAUAUGUCCCAGUUCGGAUUGUUCUCUGCAACUCGAGAGCAUGAAGCCGGAAUCGCUAGUAAUCGUAGAUCAGCCAUGCUACGGUGAAUACGUUCCCGGGUCUUGUACUCACCGCCCGUCACACCAUGGGAGUUGAUUUCA